AGAUUAGAGGGGUAUAUAGGAGUGAACUUGUCUGUCGGUCGGUCUGUCUGUCGGUCCGUAUUAAGUGUCCGCUCUCUAAUUCAAGUAGUUUUCAUCCGAUCUUCACCAAACUUGGUCAGAAGUUGUAUCUACAUGAUGUCUAGGCCAAGUUGGAACAUGGGCCUUGCCGGGUCAAAAACUAGGUCACGGGGUCACUUAGUGCGUUUUAAACAUUCAGCAUGUUGUCCGCUCUCUAAUUCAAGUAGUUUUCAUCCGAUCUUCACCACACUGGGUCAGAAGUUAUAUCUAGAUGAUCUUAAGGCCAUGUUCGAACAUGGGCCUUGCCGGGUCAAAAACUAGGUCAUGGGGUCACUUAGUGCGUUUUUUAACAUUCAGCAUGGUGUCCUCUCUCUUAUUCAAGUAGUUUUUAUCCGAUCUUCACCAAACUUGGUCAGAAGUUUUAUCUAGAUGAUCUGAAGGCCAAGUUCGAACAUGGG